rnacentral:lncRNA from 1 species
UACAGCAGCUACACACAGACAGUGGUAUCUGUGAGCAGCUCUGUGGACUCAAAGGUUUUCUCCCUGAGAGGCGUAACCCAGGCCAGCUGAUUCAUCAGAAUCAGGAUGGACAUGGUAGAGGAUGCGGAUACUUUGCAGGAGCGAGGGGACGUCAUUAUGAAAUAUGAGAAUGUACAGGGACACCAAGCUGGGCUGCCAGCAGACACGGGGCCUAAAGCCUGUUGGAAUCUACAGCAGCACUGAUCGCUUUGGGAUUCUGCAGUGAGUCCUCUGUGCUCCCCUCAGCCCCUAAAGCACUUAUUUCAGCUUAGGGAUGGGUUUGCUUUUAGAAAGG